rnacentral:rRNA from 1 species
UUCAUGUGCCUCCCUCGCCCCUAAGCCUGGCUUUACCUCUCACUGCCCCGGACUUGUCCGGGCGUUUGGGUGAGGCACUGCUACGGCGAUAAAAACGAACCCCGGCGCGGACAGCGCCAAGGAAAUAUUAACGAAUGGCAUUACCGCUGCACCAACGUGUGUGGCUGCGGUGAUGCAAACUUCGAUACCUUAACGACUCUCGGCAACGGAUAUCUCGGCUCUCGCAUCGAUGAAGAACGCAGCGAAAUGCGAUACUUGGUGUGAAUUGCAGAAUCCCGUGAACCAUCGAGUCUUUGAACGCAAGUUGCGCCCGAAGCCAUUCGGCCGAGGGCACGCCUGCCUGGGCGUCACGUAUCGCGUUGCUCCCACAACACUGCCUCUUSAGGGCCUCUUGUAUGUGGAAGCGAAGAUUGGCCUCCCGCGCACCUGCACGGAUGGCCUAAAAGCAAGCCUCGGGGUGACGAAGGGUCACGACAAGCGGUGGUUGAAUUUUCUCGGCCGUGGUUGUGUCGUGCCCGUCCGCACCCUACUGAGCUAAGCAUCCCCGACACGUCGUUACAACGGCGCUUGCAUCGCGACC